GUUUUUUAUGCAAAAUCCGGAUACACUUUUCAUACAUUCUGCUGACCCUGAAUAGUUGUUUGUGAUAAGGCUUGAUGAUUAUGGUUGUGGUUUAUGUGAUCAUUCUAUAUGCAUUAUAUAAAAAGCAAAAUAUGAAUCUUUUUCUCCCAGGACUUGGAAAAUAACCUUGCAACGAAAGUGAUUCUUGACCUGGAUUCCUAUUAGCGUUGUGUUCGGAAAGAAUCUACAGAUGACAAUGAUCACAAAUUGUGGUCAAUAAUUUUGGAUUCUCUUUUAUGCUCUAACUAGUCAUUGGAUUCUCUUUACGGCUCCAAGGAGUCAUUGUGGAGAUUUUUAGGCCUGAGAAAAAGGUCUAACAUUGCACUUCUAGAAACUGCUUCUGCAAAUGUAUUAUACAUGAUAGAUUUUCAAAGUUAUCGAGAGCCCCCUUUGCUUUAUAAUCUUUAUGAAGCCCUAGGCUUAGUCGAGUUUUUUUUGUUUUCCCCAAAAGCAUUAAAUCAUGUCUGCAGGCCCUCUUUAUGUUCUUAAAACAAGUACUUGU
rnacentral:lncRNA from 1 species